CGAUUAUUCUUGAAUCGUGAGAAUGGAAGUGAUCAAUUUGCUUACUGUUUCUUUCUUACUAUUACUCCUACUGCCAUUAUAGACGGCAUAUAAAUGUUUCAGUUUAAAAAUUACCUUUGUCCAUAACCUUGCUUUCUUACGCAAUUUUUUAAUUUUUAAAAAAUUGACUAACCACAGUUGAUUAUUUUUAAAAUAAUCGACUCUGAUAUUCUGUACAUGAAAAUACGACAACUAUACUUAAAUUACCUUGACAGAAGGCAGUAGUACAGAAGGAACAAUGUGCUGAUGUCCGACGACCACAUUCUAAGCAGUAAUGCCAAGGACAACUGAAUUUCGAUUCCGGGCCAUCGAGUGUCACGCAAGUUCUGUGAUAUUUCUUUUUACACGUUCUUUGCUGGCAGAUCAGUAGCUCAUGUGAAUUUGAUAUCUCUUGUCCACACUGCCAACAUAUCGACUUCGUUGAUCUAAAUCAAGAAUGACACAAAGUCGUGAAUAUGGUCGUACGAUUGGAAGGAGAUUUUAGACCCCAACCGCGGCCUGUAGUAUGAAACGGUUCCAUCGCUGGAUACUUUCGCAACACAAACGACUGGUUCAUGCACUUGGAUCCAGCCGGACAGAUACCGGGACUGCACUCAACCAAUAGUAUGCGAUUCAAACAAUCCGUACCGGGUGAACAAGGAUCGUUCCAGGCCGGAUCGCACUCACAUGCAACGAUACUUUCGACUUCAAUCGUUCCUCUUUCAAUUGCAGAUGUAUCUUAUUAGCUUCUUCUAAAGCUUUCCGAUAUGUAUCAUCCGUUAAAGACUUGGUCUUACCUAUAGCUGGUUUUAUAUUUGCGUCACCAUCUUGAUAUAGGAAAGCUCGGCCUCUAAAAAAA